UGGUGUGUAUAUGAUUCAUAUGAGUCACAGAUAAAUUAUUCUAAGCAGGAUACAGUCCAGAAUCCAGCUGAGAAUAAUGUGCUAAUACUGCAGCUUUGGAACAUAUGUUACUGUAUAGAAUGAUUGAUUUGAAAGCAGUGUUCCGGGAAGCGACUUUAAUUUUAAGUACCCCCUGUGCUAAUGAACUGAGCAAAUUCCACAUUGAUAACCUUGGGUUUUCUUGGAUAUGACUGCGGAGUUCUUCCCAAAAUAUGGAGGCUAUUCCCAUGCCCACUUUACAGAUUUUGCCUAAUUGGGCAUGACAAUGAGAAAACCCACAUGGAUUUAUUUUCUAGAUACUUCUUCCAUGCAAAAUGAGAAACGCUCUUCUUCUAUCUGCUUGGGAGCAUAUAGUGCACAACACGGGCCAAUGAACACAGAAUUCUGGUGGACCUACUAUGCCUGGGAUUUCAGUGAGACUCAAAGUGAGUGCAAGUCACCAUCAUAAAGAUUCAAUAUUCAAGACCACGAAGAAGAACCCAGACCAGGGAUUGCUUCAUUUGGAUUCCACCUACCGCAGUUGUUACAUCUAAGUAGGGACAACGAAAAUCUCCUGCUAUGGUCUUGAUCCUAGUCAGUAAAAGAGCAAAUUCCAAGCCUCCUAAGGGGCAUUUUCAUCCUUCCCCAUCUGUCCUUACAGAUAAGGAAGAGAUUCCAGGAAUGACUCGGUUCCUGGAACCUAGAAUUAGUCCCCCUUGUUUUCUUUAUCUAUCCAAAUCCUGUCUUAGGGAUCAACUUUCACAAGCUUUCUCUCCUUAAAGACUUUCACCUCGAAUUACCUUUUUUUUUUGUCAUAUUCCUAUUCCUAUCUGGAGUCACACUCUUGAGAACCUUCUAUACUUUCGUCAUGCAUUUAUUAGCAGAUAUCUAUAAAGUUCCUACAGUGUGUCAGGCACUGUGCUAGGCGCUAGUGCAACAAUGAUGAAUGCUAUACACAUCCACCUCACCCUUUUAUAGUUUAUAGUAUCAUGGGGAGAUGGAGAAGUAGAUGCUCAAUAAACACAUUUUGUCUGAUGGGUAUACCUUGAAACAGCAAAAGUAAAGUCUGUUUCAUCA
rnacentral:lncRNA from 1 species